GUGCACGCUGGCGGUAGGCCUAACACAUGCAAGUCGAACGGCAGCACAGUAAGAGCUUGCUCUUACGGGUGGCGAGUGGCGGACGGGUGAGGAAUACAUCGGAAUCUACUUUUUCGUGGGGGAUAACGUAGGGAAACUUACGCUAAUACCGCAUACGACCUACGGGUGAAAGCAGGGGAUCUUCGGACCUUGCGCGAUUGAAUGAGCCGAUGUCGGACUAGCUAGUUGGCGGGGUAAAGGCCCACCAAGGCGACGAUCCGUAGCUGGUCUGAGAGGAUGAUCAGCCACACUGGAACUGAGACACGGUCCAGACUCCUACGGGAGGCAGCAGUGGGGAAUAUUGGACAAUGGGCGCAAGCCUGAUCCAGCCAUACCGCGUGGGUGAAGAAGGCCUUCGGGUUGUAAAGCCCUUUUGUUGGGAAAGAAAAGCAGCAGGUUAAUACCCCGCUGUUCUGACGGUACCCAAAGAAUAAGCACCGGCUAACUUCGUG
rnacentral:rRNA from 1 species